GAACUGGAUUUGCCUGAUGACCCC
rnacentral:siRNA from 1 species